AUGUCCUGGAACGUGCGGGGCCUAAACUCCCCUGCAAAGCGCUCGGCCGUCUGCGAGGUAGCACACGCGAACAGGAUUUCAAUCCUAAACUUGCAGGAAACUAAGAUCGAAUCAUGGUACACACAGUUAGCAGUAGAAGUAGGGGGUCCUUCGCUUCAGGGCUGUGUUGUUUUGCGAGCAACAGGAACUAGAGGCGGGGCAGCAAUUUUUUGGGAUAAACAAGUAGUCGACAUAGUCUCACACAUGAUCGCUAGCUUCUCCAUCACGGUUAGGGUUCAAAUCAUCGGCAGCAGCGACUUUUUUUGGAUGACAACC
rnacentral:rRNA from 1 species